GGGUCCCCGGCGCCAUUUUGUCCCGGCAGCAGCAGCCCGCAGCUCUAGCCCAUUUUCUGUGUCUGGAGGGAAGGACGCGGACUCUCUCUGAGUUGUGCUGAAGACAACAAACACCUCCUUGACAACCCAGAGUAUCACAGAGGAAAUGAAAAGCUGUGGACUCAUUCAAAGUUAAUUAAGAUUAGGUUUGACCAUGGAAACCUAGAAAAUCUUGGCUGCUGAUGUGGAAAAAGAGACCCAGAAGAACAAGAAAACAGGAAGCAUCACUGGCUUGGUGUCAUGAGACUAAAGAAAGGAAAAGCCACUUUUGCUGACAGUGUCCAGUGUGCAACCUGCCACCCCACAAGAUAGCCUGCUUUGUUUCAGUAUCACCUCAGAAGUUUUUUUGUCAUUUAUUAGUGGCAUUCUUUAUGUUUAUUCUGAAUUUGUUGGACUUCUCAUCCAACAAGUGUCCAGGAAACUUCCUGGAUUCCCUUCCAUGUCUUGUUGGAAUUUAUGUCCUCCAGUUCUUAUAGCAUAUAUUUAAGUAUACACAAUGCAGGCUUGUGAUAGCCCUUGGUAAUAGUUAUAAAAUGUUUCUGCUUUUCUCACUUAGAAAGAUCUUGAAAAUUUUUAACUUAGUUGCAGUGGUAUACAUUGUAAAAGUCCAAAUAUCUCCUUAAAAUUACUGCUGUCUACUGAAGAUCAAAACUGUUCUGCCUAUCCUAAAUUAAAAAAAAAAAAAUCUUUAUUGUAAAUGUAUGAGUGUUUUGCCCCAUGUACAUCUCUGCAUUCCUGGUACCCAAGAAAGCCAGAAGAGGGUGCCGGGUCCCUUGGAGCUGGGCUUACAGGUGGUGACCAUCUGAGGUAGGUCCUGGGAGCUGAACUCUGUAGUUCUCUGCAAAAGUGGCAAACACUUGAAACUGUUACUCCAUCUCUUUAACUCCCAGUGUCUACUCUUUAAGAAAAAUGUUCUAUAUGAACCAGAAAGAUAAACAUAGUAAUUUACCCUUCAAGGGGUGAGAUGAUCAUAAAGGAACAUUUUAGUUUUAAAUAUACAAAGCACAAUAAAUAUACAGUUACCUAUUGUAUAACACAGUUCAAGUAGAUAUAAAUAGAUGGUAAAUUAUCUAGGGUUAUGAGAAUGAAUGCCUUUUCCCCCCUGUAACUUUUGAAAAAUAGCCCAAUUAUAGGGAGCAAGAUAACAACUAGCAAUUUCAUCAGGAUAGUGCUUUUCAGAAUAUUUUAUAAAGGGCAGGAAUCGGUUUAUAUUUUCUGUCUUUCAUCUUUCAUGCUUUGAAAGUCCUUAAGUCACCUGAAGUUUAAUUAGAUAUAUAGCUUUGGUUUUUAAGACAGGGUUUCUUAGUGUAGCCCUGCCUGCCCUGGAAGUAUCCCUACUGACCUAGGUGUCCUAGGACUCACAGAUAGACCUACUCUGCCCCUUGAGGGCGGGGUAAAAGGCACACACCACCACUGCCUAGUUAGAGGCAGUCAUUUUUAAGUCUGCACACUUUUCAUCCUAACACUUCGCUCAAAGGCAAAGGAGUUCAACGCCAAUGGGGAAGGGACUUCAAAAAAACAAACAAAACAAAGACGCAUCCAGCCUACUUUGCAUAAACUAUAAACCAAGGUUUACUCAUUUUAAGAACAGAUUAAGAGUACAGUUAAGGGCUGGUGAGAUGGCUCAGUGGGUAAGAGCACCGGACUGCUCUUCCA